rfam:Candidatus Woesearchaeota archaeon CG1_02_33_12 cg1_0.2_scaffold_6555_c, whole genome shotgun sequence.
GCGGGGGUGUCAGAGUCUGGUCAAAUGAAUACGGUUGAGGGCCGUAUACCUUAGUGGUUGCGCGGGUUCGAAUCCCGUCUCCCGCA